rnacentral:rRNA from 1 species
AGCGAACGCUGGCGGCAGGCCUAGCACAUGCAAGUCGAACGAAGCCUUCGGGCUUAGUGGCGGACGGGUGAGUAACACGUGGGACCGUACCCUUUGGUCCGGAAUAACGCAGAGAAAUUUGCGCUAAUACCGAAUGAGCCCUUAGGGGGCAAGAUUUAUCGCCGAAAGAUCGGCCCGCGUUGGAUUAGGUAGUUGGUGUGGUAAAGGCGCACCAAGCCUACGAUCCAUAGCUGGUCUGAGAGGAUGAUCAGCCACACUGGGACUGAGACACGGCCCAGACUCCUACGGGAGGCAGCAGUGGGGAAUCUUGCGCAAUGGGCGAAAGCCUGACGCAGCCAUGCCGCGUGAAUGAUGAAGGUCUUAGGAUUGUAAAAUUCUUUUACCAGGGACGAUAAUGACGGUACCUGGAGAAAAAGCCCCGGCUAACUUCGUGCCAGCCGCCGCAGUAA